CCUCUGUUGUGGUCUGGAAGACUAGUGAUUUAGUUGUUUUAUUGAUGGAGAACAAUUAAUCACAAUCUUCUAUGACCACGGCAGAUG
rnacentral:pre_miRNA from 13 species